AUUGAACGCUGGCGGCAGGCCUAACACAUGCCAGUCGAACGGUAACAGGGAGAGACUUGCUUCUUUCCUGAGGCGUGGCGGGCGCGUGAGUGAUGUCCGUGAGACUGCCUGUUGGCGGGGGAUAUCUAGUGGAAACGGUAACGAUAACAGCAUAUAGUCGCUAGACGAGAAAGGGGGGGAUUUUGGCAUCUUGCCCGCGUGUAUGCCCAGAUGGGAUUAGCUAGUGGGUGGGGUAACGGCUCACCUAGGCGACGAUCCCUAGCUGGUCUGAGAGGAUGACCAGCCACACUGGAACUGAGACACGGUCCAGACUCCUACGGGAGGCAGCAGUGGGGAAUAUUGGACAAUGGGCGCAAGCCUGAUGCAGCCAUGCCGCGUGUAUGAAGAAGGCCUUCGGGUUGUAAAGCCCUUUUGUUGGGGAAGAAGAGCAGCAGGUUAAUACCUCGCUGUAUUGACGGUACCCGAAGAAGAAGCACCGGCUAACUUCGUG
rnacentral:rRNA from 1 species